rnacentral:rRNA from 1 species
UACGUAGGGGGCAAGCGUUGGUCCGGAAUCAUUGGGCGUAAAGCGCGUGUAGGCGGCUCGAUAAGUCUGCUGUGAAAGUCCAAGGCUCAACCUUGGGAUGCCGGUGGAUACUGUCGAGCUCGAGUCCGGAAGAGGAGUGUGGAAUUCCUGGUGUAGCGGUGAAAUGCGCAGAUAUCAGGAGGAACACCAAUGGCGAAGGCAGCACUCUGGGACGUGACUGACGCUGAGACGCGAAAGCGUGGGAGCAAACAGG